rnacentral:rRNA from 1 species
CCUACGGGAGGCAGCAGUGGGGAAUAUUGGGCAAUGGGCGCAAGCCUGACCCAGCAACGCCGCGUGAAUGAAGAAGUCUUUCGGGUUGUAAACCUCUAUCCGCAGGGACGAAGAAAGCGAUGGUUGCCGAGGAAUAAGCCACGGCCAACUACGCGGCAGCCGCCGCGGUAAGACGUAGGCGGCAAGUGUUAUCCGGAUUUACUGGGUGUAAAGGGAGUGAAGGCGGGAGCGCAAGUCUGGAGUGAAAAGUGAGGGCUCAACCCUGAGACUGCAGUGGAAACUGUGUAUCUGGAGUGCAGGAGAGGCAAUCGGAAUUCCGAGUGUAGCGGUGAAAUGCGUAGAUAUUAGGAGGAACACCAGUGGCGAAGGCGGAUUACUGGACUGUAACUGACGUUGAGGCGCGAAAGCGUGGGGAGCAAACAGGAUUAGAUACCCUUGUAGUC